rnacentral:rRNA from 1 species
AUUGAACGCUGGCGGCAGGCUUAACACAUGCAAGUCGAGCGGGGGAAGGUAGCUUGCUACCGGACCUAGCAGCGGACGGGUGAGUAAUGCUUAGGAAUCUGCCUAUUAGUGGGGGACAACAUCUCGAAAGGGAUGCUAAUACCGCAUACGUCCUACGGGAGAAAGCAGGGGAUCUUCGGACCUUGCGCUAAUAGAUGAGCCUAAGUCGGAUUAGCUAGUUGGUGGGGUAAAGGCCUACCAAGGCGACGAUCUGUAGCGGGUCUGAGAGGAUGAUCCGCAACACUGGGACUGAGACACGGCCCAGACUCCUACGGGAGGCAGCAGUGGGGAAUAUUGGACAAUGGGGGGAACCCUGAUCCAGCCAUGCCGCGUGUGUGAAGAAGGCCUUAUGGUUGUAAAGCACUUUAAGCGAGGAGGAGGCUACUCUAGUUAAUACCUAGGGAUAGUGGACGUUACUCGCAGAAUAAGCACCGGCUAACUCUGUGCCAGCCGCCGCAGUAA